AUGGGCAAUGAAGCUAGUGCGCAUGCCAAUACUUUCCUGCCAAACACUAUGGAUUUUGGUAUAUUUGAGAACAUGCUACAAGAGCCAAGUGUCACUCCAAUUUUCCUGCCAGUAGAAUUUCUUAAAGCCAUCACAGACAAUUUUUCCAAGGAGCGAGAACUCGGAAAAGGUGGGUAUGGAGUGGUUUACAAGGGGAUGCUUCAAAAUGGGAAAAUGAUUGCUGUGAAGAAACUUUUUGAAAUGCAACUAGAAGAUGAUCAAUUCCAGAAUGAGGUCACCUAUCUUAUCGGGGUUAAGCACCAAAAUAUAGUACAACUUGUAGGCUACUGCGCUGAAUCACGGUGGGAAGCGACGCAAGUAGGAGAGAAAUAUGUCAUGGCUGAAACGCGGACAAGACUACUCUGCUUCGAGUAUCUAGAAAAUAACAGCCUUGAUAAGCAUCUUUCUGCUGAAUCUUGUGGACUUGAGUGGCACAUAAGAUAUGAUAUAAUUAGGCGAGUUUGCAGCGGUUUGCAUUACCUUCAUGAUGAGUGCCGCAUUAUUCAUUUGGACCUUAAACCCCAAAAUAUAUUGUUGGAUGAUCAUAUGAUGCCCAAGCUUGCAGAUUUUGGUAUGUCUAGGCUCUUUGGCAGACAACAGUCUCGAAUUAUCACCAGAAGUCGUGGGGGUACAUUUGGAUACAUGGCUCCCGAGUACAUAACAAAUGGAUUGAUCACAACAAAGUCAGAUAUAUUCAGUUUAGGCAUUAUAAUCAUAGAGUUAAUGACGGGACACAGGAAAUAUCCCGAGAGUAGUGAAACACCGUUUGAGGACUUCAUCGAGAAUGUGAUUGCAAAUUGGAGGCACAGAUUGGAAAAAACACUAAGUUAUACAGCGUUGGAAACAUGUUCCGAGCAAGUAAAUAGAUGCAUCGUAUUAGGACUAAAUUGUCUUAAUCCCGAUCCCAGUAAAAGGCCCUCUGCAUGGGAUAUAUUACAAACGCUGAAUGAAUUGGAAAGCACAAAAUAUUGUUUUGACAUGAAUGAUGUGCCAGCAGUGGGCCAGGAAUCAGAAAUAGACGCAUUUGCAGGGUGUGGUGAUGUGAAUUCCAACAAUUUAACAGCAAAAUUGAACAGAAUGAUAAGUAGAUCAUCCUCCCCAAGUUCUACAAAUAUGAGCGCCGUUUUCCGCUCUGCUCCCAAAGGAAGAAAGAUAUCGAUCCAUGCUUUCGAGAUCGCCAACACAAUUGUCAAGGCCUCCAAUCUGAUAAAAUCCUUCUCUAAAGAAAGAAUAAGACACCUGAAAGAGGGCAUGCUGAGGUCUGAAGGUGUCCGCCGUCUUAUUUCGGAAGAUUACAGUCAGUUGUCCAUUGUCAUUGAAGACGACAUACGAGAGGACGUGAGACAAUUUUCGAUAGAGGUUGCCAGGUUUGGAGAUCUGUGUGAAGAUUGUCAAUGGCACAAUCUCAGUAGAUAUUUCUGCAGAGGUGAUUCUCCACUGCCAUCUAAGAACUUCAGUGAAGAGGUACCUCCCAGUAUGAAGUAUCUAAUAAGAUUGGCACAACACAUCCGGGUUCUACAUGAAGAAAUGCUAGCACUGGACAGACUUGAGCACGCUUCUUAUGUAGCGGCUAUUCCUGCUAGGAAACAAAUUGAUGCUAUCAAGAACCAAAGGGGUGCGGUGAAGGUCUUGAAAAGCAAAUCAUUUUGGUCAAAGAGUAUGGACAAUAUUGUGGAGAAACUUGUGGAGAUCGUAGAAUUCAUGCAUCUUCAAAUCAACGAAGCUUUCUCGAAGAGUCAUGCAAAUGCAGAGCAAUCAUCUGGAGAACUUCACAUAGCUAUCAACCUCACGAAAACGUUAGGAGCUACUGGACUUGCGUUGCAUUAUGCUAAUGUCAUUUUGCAGCUAAAAGCUUUGGCAUUGGUAUCACCGGUGGUUCCUCAAAAUGACCGGGAGGCAUUAUACCAAGCACUGCCUCCUCAGAUUAAGCCAGUUUUGCAUACCCAGCUGCGUAGUCCCGGCAGAGAUCAGAACAUGACGCGAGCAGGGGUGAGAGCUGAAAUGAACAGGGUACUGCGAUGGCUUGUGCCAGCUGCCGAAUCCACAAGGCGGUACCACGUGAAUGGAGUAUUUGGAGAAUGGGAGAUGAAAGGGAUUGAGGGUAUCGAUGUUGAUGAAGCAAACUGGUUCGAACAAGAAAGUCGGAUCAGUGUCAGUUACAUGCUCGCCCAUGCAGAUGCCAAAGUGAGCAAGGUAGAGACGCUCUACUACGCCAGCAAGGAGAGGACCGAAGGUUACAUACUGGACCUUGUUCUGGCUCUUCAUCGUCUUGUUUCGCCCGCGGACUAG
rnacentral:rRNA from 1 species